rnacentral:tRNA from 1 species
GGUAAGGUGGCUGAAGUUAUAGGCGGUAGACUGUAAAUCUAUUUAUGGGAAUGUUCUCUCUUAUCA